GAAGACCAGCAUGCAUCUUUACUUCAGCGUGACUUAUGCAAAUCCCCUCUGUGGCAUUUGCCUCUGCUUUUCUUUAAGUCCUUUUCAGGUCUUAUCAGCAGCAAAGAGAAGUUAAUGGAAACCUUUGGAGACUUACUGGCCACUGGGGAGAAAUCAGUUCCAUUAUACAUUGCAGAGUGAAAUCCAUUUAAUCUGUUUUAACUCCUGGCUGCUCAGCAACUUGGAUGGGUUGAUAAUUUCAAUCUACAUACACAGUACAGAGCCAUGGAGGCAAUGGGAGCCAGGAAGGAAAGGGCCGUGUGUCCUCAGCACCUCUUUGCACGACUCCAGAGGAUCAGAGGAUGGACUUCGACUGGUGGCAGGGGAAAGAUUGAAAAGGUUCUUUGGUGAACUGUUCUUUAUCCAGCCAGGUGCUUUAAUCACGCUUGCUGAUGAAUUCAUGAAUGAAGGGUUUGAGAAAGCCAGUGAUCUCCAGCACCAGGAAGCAAAGAAGGCCCUGUGCUGACCUAAAAUUGCGUUGCAUAUAAUCACAGAGCUGCAGGACCUGGCAAGUCUGGCUGUCUUUUAAGAGAGCUCAGCAAGAACGCAAGAGAGGCAGGUGUCCUUGGGGCUUUGGGAGGGCUGCCUGAAGCAACAGCGAGGCUUGUUCCAAGUACACAGCGAAGUAAUGAUGAAGUUCAAAGAUAGCUUUGAAAUAAAGGUGCAUCCUGACUCUGCUUUUCUGCA
ensembl:lncRNA